GGAUUGGAAAUGGGGGCACCCUGAUCCAGCAAUGCCGCGUGAGUGAUGAAGGCCUUAGGGUUGUAAAGCUCUUUCGCCCGCGACGAUGAUGACGGUAGCGGGAGAAGAAGCCCCGGCUAACUUCGUGCCAGCAGCCGCGGUAAUACGAAGGGGGCGAGCGUUGUUCGGAAUUACUGGGCGUAAAGGGCGCGCAGGCGGCCCUUGAAGUCAGGCGUGAAAGCCCCGGGCUCAACCUGGGAAUUGCGCUUGAUACUCGAGGGCUUGAGUGCGGGAGAGGAGAGUGGAAUUCCCAGUGUAGAGGUGAAAUUCGUAGAUAUUGGGAAGAACACCGGUGGCGAAGGCGGCUCUCUGGACCGUAACUGACGCUGAGGCGCGAAAGCGUGGGGAGCAAACAGGAUUAGAUACCCUGGUAGUCCACGCUGUAAACGAUGUGCGCUAGACGUUGGGGGCCCUAGGUCCCCGGUGUCGCAGUCAACACGCUAAGCGCACCGCCUGGGGAGUACGGCCGCAAGGUUAAAACUCAAAAAAAUUGACGGA
rnacentral:rRNA from 1 species